rnacentral:lncRNA from 1 species
UAAUAAUAAAAUAUAGCUAGUAUGAUUAUUGAUUGAUAAUCAUGAGAUGAUUAUGUAUAUGUUGAUAUAAUUCAAUAAUCAUAGAUACUUGUUAGAGAACAAAGUAUUGGAUGGACCCGCACUGAGAUCACUACAUGGGUUAUUGUCAUAAGUGAAUCUCAAAGUAGUUAUGUCUUAAUCCUUUGACUUGAGAUUGUCAUAGUUUCCAACAUGAGGACUAUUAUGUUUUGACAUAACCAAACAUUGUCUUUAAUCGGACAAUCAUAAAGGUUAUGAUUGAGCAUAAUAGAAAUUAUGUAGAGGAUAAUGAACAAUCAAGAUAGGAUU